UACGUAGGGUGCGAGCGUUGUCCGGAUUUAUUGGGCGUAAAGGGCGCGUAGGCGGAGUGGCGCGUCGGGAGUGAAAUCCACUGGCUUAACUGGUGGCUUGCUUUCGAUACGGGCAGACUGGAGGUAUGCAGGGGAGAACGGAAUUCCUGGUGUAGCGGUGAAAUGCGCAGAUAUCAGGAGGAACACCGGUGGCGAAGGCGGUUCUCUGGGCAUGUCCUGACGCUGAGGAGCGAAAGUGUGGGGAGCGAACAGG
rnacentral:rRNA from 1 species